CUGAGCCAGUCAAGAAGGUGAUCCAAACAAACAUGAUACUUUGGUUAAACGUCCUUCUCUUCUUGAGAGCUCUCCCAGGCUGUCACUCAGAGGUUCAGUUGGUGGAGACUGGAGGAGGCGCUGUAGCUCCUGGAGGCUCCCUCCGCCUCUCCUGCAAGGCUUCAGGAUUCAACUUUACUAGUUAUAAUAUCCACUGGAUUCGUCAGUCCCCAGGGAAAGGACUAGAGUGGGUGGCUGGAGUAAGUUCUCCUUCAGGAAGUAGCCAAUGGUAUAAUUCCAAGGUCCAGGGACGCUUCACCAUCUCCAGAGACAAUUCUCAAACCUCAGCCUAUUUGCAAAUGAGCAGCUUGAAGCCUGAGGACUCUGCCGUGUAUUACUGUGCAAGACGCACAGUGACAACUUCUGCUUUCCUGCUUGUACAAAAACCGCAGAAGCCCCUUCAGAGCAGAUGCUGGAAAUAA